rnacentral:rRNA from 1 species
GCCUACGGGAGGCAGCAGUGAGGAAUAUUGGUCAAUGGGCGGGAGCCUGAACCAGCCAAGUCGCGUGAAGGAAGAAGGUACUUAGUAUUGUAAACCUCUUUUGUCAGGGAGCAAUUGGCGCUACGUGUAGCGUUAUCGAGAGUACCUGAAGAAAAAGCAUCGGCUAACUCCGUGCCAGCAGCCGCGGUAAUACGGAGGAUGCGAGCGUUAUCCGGAUUUAUUGGGUUUAAAGGGUGCGUAGGCGGAAUGCCAAGUCAGCGGUAAAAUCGCGGGGCUCAACCUCGCUCCGCCGUUGAAACUGGCGU